GCGACACUAGCCCAGUUGGUAGAGCGCAACCUUGCCAAGGUUGAGGUCACGAGUUCGAACCUCGUGUGUCGCUCCA
rnacentral:tRNA from 1 species